GCACUGUUAAUGUGUAAAAGGCAACCACGGUGGGGGAGGGAUGGCAAAUAUACUCUUGCACUCGAGACUCCUAAAGAUAAUAUUUGCACUCUUCCUCUGCUCUUUGUAGAUGCUCCCUAAGUUCACGAAUUGCAUCACUAGAUUUUAUUUGAGUCUGUUGUGCAUGCUCUUCUGCUUUCAGUCUUGCGGCUUGUUCUUCAGCCAGUUGUUGUUCAAGUCUCGUAGUUGUUUCUUUGAGCUUCAACUCAACCAUCUCUGUAAUUCUUUUCAACUGCUCUUCAUAUGAACGGUGCAUCUGCUCCUUCAGCUCCAAAAUGUCUCGUUUGGAGUAGCCUUCAAGAGAAUCAACCACUUUUUGUUGGUCACGAAGUUUAGUAGCCCCUGCCUUCAGUUCAGUAAAUAACUCAUCUGAAUAGGGUUGGCCUCCAUUUUGCAUUAUAAUGCAAUUAACAAGGGAAAGAAGCUGAUGAACUUGUUU
rnacentral:misc_RNA from 1 species